UGUGUUGUAAAGCACUCGGGGGAAACGAUCGUCACCGGACAGACCGCCUCUGGCAGGACUUGGAGCCUCGCUGUCACUCGGGAAGGGACGCGACAGUCACAGGCCGCGGGCGGCGCACGCGGCUGCCCAGGUAGCGCAGAUCCAAGGAGACCGGUUGUAAACUGCAGGAUUGGACUUGAGCAGAGCCCACCCGCCUCCGCCUGCAGGCGGUGGCCCCCUGAACAGGCUGCAAAUGCGGAGGCUCGACGCGAUGGCUGG
rnacentral:lncRNA from 1 species